rnacentral:rRNA from 1 species
GACGAACGCUGGCGGCGUGCCUAAUACAUGCAAGUAGAACGCUGAAGAGAGGAGCUUGCUCUUCUUGGAUGAGUUGCGAACGGGUGAGUAACGCGUAGGUAACCUGCCUGGUAGCGGGGGAUAACUAUUGGAAACGAUAGCUAAUACCGCAUAAAAUUGAUUAUUGCAUGAUAAUUAAUUGAAAGAUGCAAUUGCAUCACUACCAGAUGGACCUGCGUUGUAUUAGCUAGUUGGUGAGGUAACGGCUCACCAAGGCGACGAUACAUAGCCGACCUGAGAGGGUGAUCGGCCACACUGGGACUGAGACACGGCCCAGACUCCUACGGGAGGCAGCAGUAGGGAAUCUUCGGCAAUGGGGGGAACCCUGACCGAGCAACGCCGCGUGAGUGAAGAAGAUUUUCGGAUCGUAAAGCUCUGUUGUAAGAGAAGAACGGGUGUGAGAGUGGAAAGUUCACACUGUGACGGUAUCUUACCAGAAAGGGACGGCUAACUACGUGCCAGCAGCCGCGGUAAUACGUAGGUCCCGAGCGUUGUCCGGAUUUAUUGGGCGUAAAGCGAGCGCAGGCGGUUAGAUAAGUCUGAAGUUAAAGGCUGUGGCUUAACCAUAGUAUGCUUUGGAAACUGUUUAACUUGAGUGCAGAAGGGGAGAGUGGAAUUCCAUGUGUAGCGGUGAAAUGCGUAGAUAUAUGGAGGAACACCGGUGGCGAAAGCGGCUCUCUGGUCUGUAACUGACGCUGAGGCUCGAAAGCGUGGGGAGCAAACAGG